rnacentral:snRNA from 1 species
GAUGGCAGCGGUCCUCAUAACUACCAAGUUAAUUGCCUUUUACCAUUGACUUCCGUGUGAGGCCGCAACUUGCCACUCAAUCAAUCUUUGGAAAACACCCUUUUUGCUGACU